CAACAUUAAGUCCGUCAGUUGUAGUCAGAACGCAGUGAUCUACACUUAAAACUCCUCAGGACCAUUCAAAGCACCGAGCCGUUGUCACAACUCAUAUACGUCCAACCACAAAAAUUGAUUCAUCGUCGAUUCUAUAUUAUACACAUUCUGAGGUAGACUGCCUUUGUCGUAUCACUGUUGUGGUAUGAUAACAGCUCAGCUGUUAUCCAUUCGAUACCGAGUGACGAGCGUGGACAGUGGCCAAUAUGUUUAUCUCAUGUAACGAUUUAAAACUAACUGCCUCAUACAUGCAACUAUGCAACAUGUUCAUUGUUCAUUCUUAAAGUUAAGAGUAGUGAGUAGUAAGUUUUUCGACCGUCAUUACAACACAUAGGCGCAGCUCCGUUUUUUUAUUGUUUUUGUCAACAGACAACAGAACACACUCACACGAUGAACAGUCAUCAAUUCGUUCAGUGGAAUUUUAUGUUUUCUGGUAACUAUUGUUCGAGCAACAGCCAAUAUUAUGUAUUAAUGUUGUUUUUUCUAGUUUAGGAUGGUUUGUGUGUUUAACUGUCUUGAUGGAGUGUUGUUCCUGUUCGUGGUUCGAACGCCAAAGCAUACUUCUUGUUCGAUGAUUUUACAGAAAGCAGCUGUGACUGGAUAUUCGCAUACACCCGAAACUUGCACUUUUAAUCGUAUUAAGUUUUAAUACCUUGGUUUUUAGUGAGUUUUGCAUGAGAUUAAAUCCACCAUUCAACACAGUUAUAUGUGAUUAGACAACAUUUUUCAACAUUGAAAACAGUUACCACCCUCACGACCGGAAUUGCUGUAUACUGUACGUGGUCCAACCGUCAAGUUUUAUAAUCAUAAAAAUAUUACUAUCUAGGUACUAUAAUAUGUAUAAGUAUGUGUGUGGAUAGUGGAUACCUGCAUAAUAUAAUAGAUAUACUAGCCAUAAUAAUGAUUAAGGAAGGAAAUAACUACAUUUCCUAGGAAAUGUUUAAAAUGUAUUAGUUAGUUAUUAAUUAGUGCAAUAUUGCCUUAGUGUAUUAGGGGUUAUCAUAAAUUUUAAAACGCUUAGGAAUUAUGUAAAUUAUCUAAACUGUGAUACAUACUAGUCAUACAAUUCAUUAAAAAUCUUUUUCACUUUAAGUAAUAUUAAGAACUAACAGAACUUGAAUUGUUCAAUAACUUUAAGAAGUUAUGACUAACUCCUCCACUAAAUCCAUCGAAAAAAUAAUUUAACAAAAGCACUAUGGUCACAUCAGUAGUUAUUAAUUUAACCCUUGCAUUAUACAACAGAGUUUAUUUUAUAUUUUUUGAAAAUGUGUGCAACUUGUGAAUAUCUCAUUAAGAUUUGAAUUAUCAGCUAUUGUGUAAAAACAACUGAAUGAAAUUUGUUUUAUCUGGCUUGCAUUAAAGAAAUUCAUAAAGACUUUUAUUGAUACUUUAAUUUUUAAAAUGAGUUUGUGUAUUUUAAAGUUUUAAUUUUUUUUUCACAACCAUCACUCACUUAAAAGUUAAAAUAAUCAAUAAGAUGCUAUGAGAUUCCCUACAUAAUAGGUAAUUUGACUCUUAAUUAUGCAUUGUCCUUAUAAGCAUUUAAAUUCUAUUUGAUACAUUUACAUAGUUGUCUUCAAUUUCUAUAGAUACAGCAAGGUGAAGCAUAAAAAAUAUUUUGUUAUAAUUCAAAAAGUAUAAAAUUAUAAAUAUUUGAAACUUUUUGCUAUUAUGCAUAUUAUUAUUAUUGCAAUAUGCAAUUACAUUUUCAAAAUAUUUAAAUUAAUUUAACGUUGGUAACAAUUAUUAUACUAUAGACUUCACACCAUUAACAGUAUGACAGUAUUAUGACAUUUAUUUAUAAUAAAUUAAUAACAAUAUUAUAUGAUAUAAUACUUUAAUUAUUAUUAUAUAAUACGAUAAUGUUUUUGCCAAUUUUAAGUUCAACCUUCUGUAUAUUACUUGUCUUGUAAAGAAAAAUUAACAACAAAUUGUAAUGUACUUAAUCAAACUAUAGAUACAAUUAAUAACAACUAACAGGCUAACCAUUAUCUUCACUUAUUAUUUUGCGUUUGGAAUGGUUUUUUAUGAAUUCAAAUUUAACUUAUUUUUCCCUUACAAAUUAUGAUAAUUAUACUUCCUUUCUAAUGUUUACUUAUAAAGUUAUAACCUAUUGUGUAUCGUAAUUUUAACUUUUAUU